rnacentral:lncRNA from 1 species
UGAAUCUCAUUCACACCUUUUGCUUGGACCACAAAAUUAUCCCUUGUUAUGAACUGUUGGGAGUUAAGUGACAUGUUCCCAAUCAAGGAUUUGACAGCAAUAGGAUAUUCAAUACACAAAGCAUUAUAAUCAACAUCAGGGACAACAAGUUCUCUCAGAGUUCUUUGGUCAGCCAUGUUAAACUUAAUAGAAAAGAAAAAAAAAUCAACAAAUAAUGAGAAAACACAACUAACUCAGCAAUGCAGCAACAAAUAGGAAAAUAUCGACAAUGUCCUUAUUAAGUAAAAACAAUUGAAAUACAAAAAAACGAUUGAAAUAAAAUAAAUAAAAAUAUAAAAACACGAAAACUAAACUAAUAACGUCAAUUAAGAAUUUUGAGAAUUUUUGUGGAAUUUUCUGAAACCACAAAAACAGAAAAUAAAUCAUAAAAAAUAGAAAAAUAAGGAAUUUCGGUUUUUUAGGGCGGCAUCCAUAUUUAUUCC